rnacentral:misc_RNA from 1 species
AAUUUUCAACCUAACCAGCUUUUUGUGAGCUUGGAAUAGGCUUGGAUGUGGGGGUCUUGCUGGCUUCACCAGAAGUCAGCUCCCCUUAAAUGUAUUAGUAGAACCUUUUGUUGACCUGUUCCUGAUGUGAUAAUUAUCUACACCAUGCACAGUCAGCUUAGUUUAAUGGGCUUCUGCUUAUAACCCCCUUCUACUUUUGACC